GGCUAGGUAGCUCAAUAGGUAGAGCCCUGGUAUAUAUCCAGAAGCCCUGGGUUCAAUCCCCAGUCUGGCCA